AAGUGGAAGAAUCCAAGGAUUCCUCAGUAAUAAAACACAUGAAGUGCAAGCCUGGAAAUAGCUUGGAGCUUUCUUCCUAGAAAUCAUAACGUGAUGAGCGCUAUCGAGGUGACGGGUCUGUAAAUUACAUCCUUGCCAGACGAGUAGCUGGAGGACGUUUUCAGAGGAGUGCCCAGCAAUAACCACAGGAUGCUGCCAAAUGAUCAUCCUUCCUCCUGUCGUGUGGUGCAGCUGAAGGAUAUCAGCAGCAAGGCUCUGAGUGCAGGAUUUGCUCCCUGCACGUGGUCCCCACCCGGUGGCAUUGUAAGGGAGGAGAAAGCUGCAGCCCGGGGGCACCCCCAGCUAUUGUGCUCCUAUUCAGGUCGGUUUGCUGUAGAAAAUCCCACUGAAGCAGACAGGAGGCUGUGAGUUCAGGCACUUUCCCACAAGCAAUUCUCUUGCUCCCAUUUGCCCUGCCUCUAGAAUCAGAUCUACCUCCUUGUAAUGAUCGUAUUUCAAAAGGAGCUCUUUCGCUGCUAAGAAGAAGUGACAAUCAAUGCACACCUGGCUGGGCCUGUUCUGAUGAAGCUGCCACACACACACAGUGCACUGGAUUUUUCCUUGGUGUCGGGAAGUAGCAGCUGGAAGCUGACAUCUGGCAACACGGGAGGGCUUUGUCAUCCAGAAGUCCCCUCCAGCCCUGCUCAGCUUCUCUGCGUGCCUGUAGGAGAAAGAAAAGUCUGGUCCAGAGGGGAAGAAGUGACAACUGGGUUGUUCUGGGUUUCAGCAGCCUUUAUAUACAAAUCUGAAGCGUGCUUCUCCUGGUGA
ensembl:lncRNA